rnacentral:lncRNA from 1 species
CUGGUUAAGUCAGGCAGCAGGGAGAAGCCAAGCUCCAUUUGAGCAGGAAGUGUCCUGAGUGGAUGUGGUGUAACCGGAAGUUCAGAGCUGACUGGUCUCUCCUGGCUCCCUCCUGCUUUGGUCCCGAGGCCAGGGCCUCUGAGAGCCCUGGCUGCAAACAGCCGCCCAGAGUGGUUCUCUCCUAUUAGCCAGGGCCCUCCCACCUCUCCAGCUCAGGGCUCCUGGCCUUCCUCCAGGUGGCUUCUUGCCUGUCUUCUUGACCUCCAGACACACUCCUCUGCUCCCCCACAGCUGCACCCUUCUGGAACACAGGUCCUGCCUUCUCCCACCACAGCCCUGCCUUGACCCUGGCAGGAGCAUGCCAUGGCAAAGGAGCCGCCCGUGGAGAUUUGCUUUCUGUAAGGAGACAGGUUUCAGUGCUAUUCCUGACAGAGUGCUUGCCCCGAUGGCAACCCAAGACCGGUGCUUCUAGCAAGCUUGGAGCCACAGGGGCCUGGGUUCAAACCCUGAACUCAGCACAAAUCCGUCGACCUGCUUCUUGCCCUUAAAAUGGGGGUGCCAAUUGCUUACUUUGAAGGUUGUUGCGGAAACUAGGGAUCACAGGUGCAGGCACCUUCCUCAGCCCGGCAGGCAGCAGAUCCAAAGCAGAAGGCGAUGGAGUCAUGGCCGUGCCCGUGAGGUGUGACACAGGGGGAAGAUAUAAAAUCUCGGGCGCCAUUGGAGUGUACAGACUCCUGGGGGCCGCCUCCCCGUGUCUUCCCAGGCGCUGUCCCAGAGCCACCCCUCAGGAAUCCAGCCCCACACCCAGCUGCAGCUGCCCGAGUGGCUCAGUGGCCCGGCGGCCUCCCUGCUGACUGAGCUCCUGCAGUUCGACCCUGCCCGGCGCCUGGGCGCUGGAGGAGGCGGCGUCCACGAGCUCAAGGCCCACCCCUUUUUCAGUUCCAUCCAGUGGAGCAAACUGGGGGGAUAGGAGGGCGUGGUAUCGGCAAAGGGAGUGGCUGGACUGGUCUGGAUCUCCUCAUGUCUCUUUGCCUGCCACCUCCCAGCAGUGGCCCGUGGGCAAAGAAUGCAAGGCAGCUUGCCUUUCCUGGUCAGGACCCCACCCUUGGGCCUCAGAAGUCUCAUCACCACUGACCAGGAAGGGCCUUGUGGACUCCCCCAGCCACCUCUUGGAGAAAUGCUUUCUAGUUGGUGCUGAGGGGCAGAGAUCUCAGCCUGUUAGGCAGCUUGAACGUCUCCGCCUGUCCAUCCUCCGCCCAUCAGUCAAGUCACCUUCUGUGUCUACACCCUGUACCUUGAACUGGGACCUGCCCUGUUAAAAGGUGCCUUCCUUGGCAUUAGCUCUGAGCUACUGACCACCACCUGCUGAGCCGAGAA